rnacentral:rRNA from 1 species
AUUGAACGCUGGCGGCAGGCCUAACACAUGCAAGUCGAGCGAGCGGCGGACGGGUGAGUAAUGUCUGGGAAACUGCCUGAUGGAGGGGGAUAACUACUGGAAACGGUAGCUAAUACCGCAUACCAUCAGAUGUUCCCAGAGGGGAUUAGCUAGUAGGUGGGGUAACGUCUCACCUAGGCGACGAUCCCUAGCUGGUCUGGGAGGAUGACCAGCAACACUGGAACUGAGAAAGGGGCCAGACUCCUACGGGAGGCAGCAGUGGGGAAUAUUGAACAAUGGGCGCAAGCCUGAUGCAGCCAUGCCGCGUGUGUGAAGAAGGCCUUCGGGUUGUAAAGCACUUUCAGCGGGGAGGCGUUACCCGCAGAAGAAGCACCGGCUAACUCCGUGACAGCAGCCGCGGUAAUUC